CAUCCCUUGCGUGGUGGAGGGUGAGCUUUCUGAAAACCCCUCCCACAUGCAGGGUUUGCA
rnacentral:pre_miRNA from 1 species